UAAGAGCACAACUCCCAGGGGAAUUGUGGUGCUGCCUGCUCUGGAAUGCAGAUCUUAGGUUCUCACUGUGGUUCUUACUGGUUCUGUGGAGGCCUGUCUGCACACCAGGAACCCAGGGAAGCGACUGACAGCAUGGACUCCACCUUUCAGAAAAGUAGGAGCAAAAGUGAGACCCAGACAGAGCAAAGCCUUGCAAAUGGAGCAUUGGGACUGUAAUUGCUGAGAUUUCUUCCUCCACACCUCCUCCAAAGGUUGAAGAUGGAUCAUUGGAAUCCUGGAGGAGCUUGGGGCCUGGCAAGCCUAGUGAUUCCAAGUGAAGCCUUCAUAGACAUUACCAGUAUUUUUUAAGCCCUGCUGUCUGACACAGCUCUGGGUUGUUUUCCAGAAGGUUAAGCUGCUUAACUGCUCUCUGAAUUGUGACAGCUGACCAGGGGCUAUGAAGUGCUGAUCGUGGGGCGGAAGUCUGGUUGUGAAAAGAGGAGGAAGAGAGGAGAUGAGCCCAAUGAACAAGAAGAGGCUGCACUUUCCAUAGGUGGAGAUGCUGCAUGGGAAUCAGGGAUUAGAAAGCAGAAAGGAGACAUGGAGUUCUGAAGUCAGGUGAAAGAAGACAUUUAUGGAGAGUAAGGGGGUGGUCAUAGGAUGGCAGUGUUGAUCAGAAAAGGGAAGAAGAAAUAUUUUGCACAAUAAGGCGGAGGAUAAUAGAGGUGAUGAUCUCAGGUAUAGGUAGCAUGUCAUGCUGAAAUGUGGAAAUAAAUGCCAAAUCUGCCUUCCAAUUAUUAAUUUAUUUGAGACAGACAAUUGGGAUUAAUUCCAUGCUAUAAGCAUGAAAAUGUUUUUGUAAUUGUAGCCAUGUAUA